AGCGAACGCUGGCGGCAGGCUUAACACAUGCAAGUCGAGCGGGCACCUUCGGGUGUCAGCGGCAGACGGGUGAGUAACACGUGGGAACGUACCCUUUGGUUCGGAACAACUCUGGGAAACUGGAGCUAAUACCGGAUACGCCCUUAUGGGGAAAGGUUUACCGCCGAAGGAUCGGCCCGCGUCUGAUUAGCUAGUUGGUGAGGUAACGGCUCACCAAGGCGACGAUCAGUAGCUGGUCUGAGAGGAUGAUCAGCCACACUGGGACUGAGACACGGCCAGACUCCUACGGAGGCAGCAGUGGGGAAUAUUGGACAAUGGGCGCAAGCCUGAUCCAGCCAUGCCGCGUGAGUGAUGAAGGCCUUAGGGUUGUAAAGCUCUUUUGUCCGGGACGAUAAUGACGGUACCGGAAGAAUAAGCCCCGGCUAACUUCGUGCCAGCAGCCGCCGU
rnacentral:rRNA from 1 species